AAUAGAUUUGAAGGCUUUUUAGAGUAAUUUCUAAUCCUUUGAAAUAAAGUUUGUUGGUGAUUGAUUUGGUCACUACCAUGUGCUAAAGGCUUCAUGUCUUGUCAUGUUAAUGAUCAUGGUCAACCCAUUGCAAAGUAUCCUAAUUUUGCAAAACUACCUUUAAUGGUCUCAAAUCAGGCAAGACUACCCGCUGAACUUAA
rnacentral:misc_RNA from 1 species